UACAGAGGUCCCAAGCGUUGUUCGGAUUCACUGGGCGUAAAGGGUGCGUAGGUGGUUAGGUAAGUCCGGUGUGAAAUCUCCAGGCUCAACCUGGAAAUGGCAUUGGAUACUGUUUAGCUUGAGGAGUGGAGGGGGGACUGGAAUUCUCGGUGUAGCAGUGAAAUGCGCAGAUAUCAGGAGGAACACCGGUGGCGAAGGCGGUUCUCUGGGCAUGACCUGACGCUGAGGAGCGAAAGCAUGGGGAGCGAACAGG
rnacentral:rRNA from 1 species